rnacentral:snRNA from 1 species
AGCUUUGCACAGUGGAAGUAUCGUAGCCGAUGAGGUUUAUCUGAGGUGUGAUUAUUGCUAAUUGAAAACUUUUCCCAACAUAAAUUGUGCAGGAAACCAGAAGAAUAUUCACUGAACACUGUAAUGAGAAUAACCAG